rnacentral:sRNA from 1 species
GUGCUGAAAAUUGACCAGAUAUACCUGCAUUGUUAAUGAGGAUAUCAAGACGGCCUUCUUUUUCAGCAAUCAUGUUAUAAGCAUUUUUGACUGAGUAGUCACUUGUAACAUCUAACUGUACAUAAUGAACACCUAAUUUUUGUGAUGCUUGUUGUCCUCUUACAUCAUUCCGAGAACCUAUAUAAACUUUG